GCGGAGUCAGUGCAGCUCUGUCCAAUGAGAAAUAUUUUUUCAAAUGUUUUCCCACCUGGCAGGCAUGCAGGCUGAACAGCCAAUGAGAGUGGCCUCUCUCACCUACAAGGCCCAGCCAGUCUGCCGCCGAAACAAUAUGCCGUAUUGACCGAAAAGCCGACCAGGUCCAACUGGCACGGGACACACUGGGAACACGAGCCCUUGACAGCCGCUCACCUACAGCCACGACCCUUAGCUCGACUUUGUCUUGACAACCGUUUGUCUGGUUGGACACAACAGAGCUGACCUGAGUGGUCAAAACAGAAGUACCAAGUAACAGCUGAGACUGGACUUCAUUGAAAUUCUUUGUAAUGCUCCUUGCAACAAGCCAACUACCAGUAAGAGAACAAAACCUUUUGAGCACUGGAGCAUUUCAGUGAGAAGAAUGUGAUUUUACCGGGUUUUUUUUUUCCCAGUCAGACUAUAAGACUGCCUUGUGAGCCUGAUGUACAGAAUACAACAUAACACAUUCUGAAUAUUAUUGUUUGGUAUAAAAUCCAUAAGGAAAAUGUUUGAGUCAAUUUGUUUUUAUUCG